rnacentral:rRNA from 1 species
UACGUAGGGGGCUAGCGUUGUCCGGAUUUAUUGGGCGUAAAGAGCGUGUAGGCGGCCAGGUAGGUCUGUUGUGAAAGCCCCGGGCUCAACCUGGGAAUGGCAAUGGAUACUGGCGAGCUAGAGUGUGUCAGAGGAUGGUGGAAUUCCCGGUGUAGCGGUGAAAUGCGUAGAGAUCGGGAGGAACAUCAGUGGCGAAGGCGGCCAUCUGGGACAACACUGACGCUGAGGCACGAAAGCGUGGGGAGCAAACAGG